rnacentral:rRNA from 1 species
UACGGAGGGUGCGAGCGUUGUUCGGAAUUAUUGGGCGUAAAGCGCACGUAGGCGGUCUUUUAAGUCUCAUGGUGAAAUGCCGGGGCUCAACCCCGCGCUUGCCGGGGAUACUGGGAGACUGGAGACAGGUAGAGGCCAGCGGAAUUCCGGGUGUAGCGGUGGAAUGCGUAGAGAUCCGGAAGAACACCGGAGGCGAAGGCGGCUGGCUGGACCUGAUCUGACGCUGAGGUGCGAAAGCGUGGGGAGCGAACAGGAUUAGAAACCCCAGUAGUCC